rnacentral:rRNA from 1 species
UACGAAGGGGGCUAGCGUUGCUCGGAAUUACUGGGCGUAAAGCGCACGUAGGCGGCUUUCUAAGUCGGGGGUGAAAUCCUGGAGCUCAACUCCAGAACUGCCUUUGAUACUGAGGAUCUCGAGUCCGGGAGAGGUGAGUGGAACUCCGAGUGUAGAGGUGAAAUUCGUAGAUAUUCGGAAGAACACCAGUGGCGAAGGCGGCUCACUGGCCCGGUACUGACGCUGAUGUGCGAAAGCGUGGGGAGCAAACAGG